rnacentral:lncRNA from 1 species
UGCAAAACGCACAUGGAAAUGUCUUAGAAGCUUAAGUGCAAAAGAGGGCACAAUUUCAAGAGAAGGAGUUGAAAAAAGGAAAGUUUAUUUAUUAGGUCUAAAUUAUGAUGAAUAUGUUUUAGUUAGAGGUUGUUUUCGUUUUCGAGUAAUAAAAGGGAUGGUUCAUUUUUCUGGUAAGAUUAUGACACCUUCACGUAAAUAUAUAAAUAUUCGUAUACCACCUUAUCACCCUUUUUUUAAAUUAAGAGCAUUAAGCGAUAAUAAUAUAAAUUAUGUAGAUGAUAAUUUUGUUUUUUGUAAACAAGAAAAAAACAUGAAAGUUAAUACAAGUGUUAAAAAUUUUCAUGAUAGCACUAUGAGUAUUCGUAACACUAAUGACGACACGUGUAAUACCAGUGGAAACAAUGUUUGUUAUAAUUAUGACGAGAAACAAAAAGUAAGCACAAGAUAUGUUAACAUACCAGAAUCUGAAAGUAAUGAAAAGUAUACGUUCCAACCUGAAAACACAGAUACAUACGAAUGUGCAUAUACGAUUAUAAAUAAUUAUUUAUUUGGACUAAAUUUACAAGAUAAAUAUAAUAAUAAACGACAACGAUUUUAUAAUUAUAUUAUUAAUAAAAAGAAUAAAACAGAAGAGAAUUAUUAUAAUAAUUGUUCUGAUAUAGAAAAAACGAUAGACGUACAUUUUAAAGGUGAUAAAUAUGAUGUUAUCAUCGCUUUUGAAAAAAAAAAAGAUUUUCUCUAUUAUUUGUAUAAUUACGAUAAUACGAAAAAAAUAAAUUUUGAUAAAUAUUAUAACGAAAUUAAAAAUGUAUAUGUUAGUAAUCUUAAUGUAUAUUAUUUAGUGAGACAGGUUUUGUUGGGAUUGUAUUACAACAGUGGUAAUAGUUGCAGUAGUAAAAAUAAAAGGCAAAACUUAACACAUAUGAUAAAAAGAGCUAUAAACGGAUGUACAGACUGGAAAAAAGGUAAAGGCAAUUUUAUUAGUACAAAUUGCGAAAAUAACACAAGAGUUAACUUUGAUGCAAAUGGAAUAAACGAAAAAUCAAAUUCUCAGAAUAACAUAAAUGAAAAAAGUAUGCAUGAUAUAUUGGAAAAAGCAAAUGCAGGAAGCGAUGAUUUCCACACGGAGGAUAAUAUUGUGAACACGGGCACGAACACGAGCACGAACACGAGCACGAACACGAACACGAGCACGAACACGAACACGAGCACGAACACGAACACGAACACGAACACGAACACGAACACGAACACAAACACGAACACAAACACGAACACAAACACGAACACAAACACGAACACGAACACGAACACGAACACGAACACGAACAUGAGUGACGGUUGUAAAGGAAAGUCAACAGAUAAACAAAGUGAUAACGAACAUCUGUGCAUUGAAAAGAACAUACCAGAGUAUAACAUAUUCAGUAUCAUGGUUAUAGGUGAUAAAGGGAAAGGUAAAAGUUUUUUUAAUAUAAAUUUAAUUAAUAACUUAUUAAACUAUUAUGAUUCUAUAUUUUUGAUAGAUAUAGAUAUAGGACAACCAAUUAUUGGGGUUAGUGGUUUUAUUUCUAUAUAUGAAAUAAAUGGUUUUUUAAAUGAGUACAAUUUUUUUUCAAAUAGUUAUAAAUGUAUAUUAAAGAUAUAUAUUGGUAAUUGUUCUAUAAGUGAAGAUACAAAUUUUUUUAUCAAGUGUUUAAAAUAUAUGUAUAGCUAUUUAUUUGAUGAGUAUUUUAAAAAUAUAAAAAAUGAAAAAGAGAAUAAUCGACGGACGUAUCCGAUAGUUGUGAAUAGUUUUGGUUGGAUAGAAGGUGUAGGAUUAUUUUUGUUAGUUUUAAAUAUUUACUUAAGUAGAUGUAAUUUUAUUAUUCAGUUUGACUCGUUAGGUAUACAUGACAAUGUAGCUAAUGAAUUAAGUAAAAAAGAAACUUUGGAAUAUUUGUUUAACGACUUUGUUGUGUUGGCUCAUAGUAAAGUUGAAGAUACAUUGCAAGAUAGUAACAAAAUGGAUAAAAAGAUAAAAAAUAUAAGCCACACUUGUUUUACCGUUUUCAACUUACGUAACAAAAAUGUAUGUUUAUUUCCAAAACAACAUUCUAUAAUUAAUUUGAUUAAAACUUACUGUGGAGUUACAACAAAUGAUAUACUAUGUUAUAAUUUUAGUUUAUCUUUUUCCAAUUAUGCAGUAGAUAAAGAAAAAACAACAAAACAAAAUACAGAUAUGAAUGAGUAUUAUAAAAAAAGAAUACACGAUAAUAAUGCACAUCCAUAUGAUCAAAGUAAUUCGGAAUAUUUGACAAGUUGCAAUAGUGAUAAAAUGAAUGAAAGUGACAUAAAUUAUUUGAAAUAUAGACACGAUUCGUGUAAGUACGCAACUAGUAAUAACAAUAAUAUUAGUAUUUUUAAUAGUAACGGUUAUAACAGCGGGAACAACAGCUACCACAGUAAUUACAGUAACUACAGUAAUUACAGCAAUUACGGUAACUACAGUAACUACAGUAACUACAGUAACAACAGUAACAACAGUAACAACAACACGUAUGUUGUUGAUAGUCAUGCUGGUGGUAACAAAUACGAAAAUGCUCACACUCGAUAUGAUAAUAACAAUAGCAACAGUCACAAUAACAAUCGUAACUAUAACACUACUAACAUUAAAACGUACAGUAGUUAUAAAGGUUAUAAUUAUGGAAAUAAUUAUGAUAGCAACAAAAUAAAUCACGAUUGUGAUUUUUAUGGUAGCAAUAACAGAAAUAUCAAUUAUAUAGAUAUGAAUAAGCACGACAUUAGUGUUAGCAAUAUUCGGAACGGAGUUAGUAGUAAUAACAUUUAUAAUGACAAAAAUAGUUAUUACAAUUAUAAAAACGAAUUUAUUUUUCCGAGGCAUUGUACGAAUUACCCAAAUUAUUCAAAUUACCCAAAUUAUUCAAAUUACCCAAAUUAUUCAAAUUACCCAAAUUAUUCAAAUUACCCAAAUUAUUCAAAUUACCCAAAUUAUCCAAAUUACCCAAAUUAUCCAAACCACCCAAAUCACGUAAUAAGCCUUUUUGACAACAAUGAAUACAAAGUUAAAUACUUAAAAUAUGAAAAAAAUCCGUUAUCUUACAUUUAUGGUAAAAGAAAUAGAAACAGGGAAAGUCAGUGCUUGGGUGAUGAGAAAGAGGAGUGGUCUGAUUAUAAUGAACAGGUUUAUCGUAGUGGAGAGUUUUUAAAUGACAUAAAAGAUAAACCUUACGAUAAAAUAUACAAAACAGUAUACAAUGAAAAUAAUUUUAAAGAAGAAACGUACAAAGACAACAGGUAUAAAAAGUUAAAGAAUGAUGAAUGCAUUUCAAAUUGUAAUAAAAAAUUAAUUACACAAAAAAAUAAAGAUGAAAUCGAAACUAAAAUUGAAAACUAUAACUAUUUAAUAGACAGGAUAAAAGAUUUUUUUCAAAACAAUAAUAUAAGAAUAAUUAAUACAAUAAGUUAUAAAAACCUUUUGUUUGAUAACGACAGUAGUAACAAUAAUAGUCAUAAUUAUAUGAAGGAUGAAAAAAGAAAUUGUCAUAGUCAUAUUUCCAUAUCACCGAAAUUUUUAAGAGCAUAUAGAUUUUAUAGUUAUUUUUUUUAUAAAUUUAAAAAAAUCAUUUUUUAUAUUAACACAUUUUCAUGUCAUGAUGAUUUAAAAACAUAUUUUUUUAAACACUUUAAACUUGUGGAUUAUUAUAUUUUUUGUAAUGACAUAGACCCUAUAAAGUUACAUGUACAAAUGGUUGAUGGUAAAUGUCCAAACAACAUCAAUAAUGAUACUCGUAUAAAAAACAUGCCUGAAAUGUCUGAUAUGCCUGAAAUGUCUGAAAUACCUGAAAUGCCUGAAAUGUCUGAAAUGCCUGAAAUGUCUGAAAUGCCUGAAAUGUCUGAAAUGCCUGAUGAUAUAACAGAAGCAGAGCCAAAUGAACAAAACAUAUAUGUAAAAAAUAAGAAUGAUGUAAAAAAUAAGAAUGAUGUAAAAAAUAAGAAUGAUGUAAAAAAUAAGAAUGAUGUAAAAAAUAAGAAUGAUGUAAAAAGUGAGAAUGAUUUAAAAAAUGAGAAUGAUGUAAAAAAUGAGAAUGAUGUAAAAAAUGAGAAUGAUGUAAAAAAUGAGAAUGAUGUAAAAAACGAUUUGAAUAAUAAUAAUAAUAAAAGUAAAUAUGUAUGCAAAAUAGGAAUAAACAAUGUAGCUAAUUCGAUAAUGGCUGAGGGGGACAUAACUGUUGUAGAUAUUGUCACUGAUACGACAGCUAAUUCUUCAAAUGUCGCUACGUUUACUACAAAUAACAACUUGUGUAUUUCCAACAAUUUAGACAGUACAGUAGGUGUAGAUACAUAUGAUACUGAAAAACUACAACAUGUGAAACAUACUAAAAAUGUGCAUAAACUAUAUAAAGAACCAAAGAAUAGACUUCUAUUCACUUGUGCUAUAUUUAAUUUAAAAGAUAUAUACUUAAGUAGUAUAUUAUUUAAUAAAAAUAUUAAGAGUAUGCAAGAAUAUAAUGAAUUUUUUGCAUUUAAGUAUUUUUUUAACAAUGUAAUAUGUUUAUGUUAUUAUCCUGGUGAUAAUUUAUCAAAAAAAAAAAAAAAAAAAAAGUAUGACCUUGCUAACAAGGUAAAGAAUGGACAUGACGAUUUACCGAAUGAUAAAGCGAACCAUGUGAAUAGUACCGAUAGUGUGGACGAAGAGGACGAGGAAAAUGAAGCGAACGACAUACCCAACACAAAUUCAAGAUACUACAUAGAUUAUAUGCAAAUAAAUACUGAUAAUUUUAAAAAUAUUAAUUAUAUUAUUAAAAAAGAAGACAUGAAAAAAAAUAAUAUUCAACUUAUUAGCAUGAGUGAGAAGUUUAAAUAUAAAUUAAUAGCAUAUAUAAAACUUAUUGAUAAUAUGAAGCUGAUAAUAUAUUUACCAUAUUGGCUUACAAAUUUUGAUAUACUUAAACAUGUAAAUACGUUCGUAGCUGGAGUCCAACUUCUGCCUUACAAUAUGCAUGACAUAAUUAAUAACUAUUCUUAUUAUUUAAAUAUAGUGAGUAAAAAAGAGAAGGAUAUUAUUAGGCUGUUAAAAACGAAAAAGGCGUGUUCAACGU